GCCGCUUUAGCUCAGUCGGCCAGAGCGAUUCACUCGUAAUGAAUAGGUCAUCGGUUCGAUU
rnacentral:tRNA from 1 species